UCCAAACAUUUAAUUUUUGAUCCAUCCUUUUUAGGCCUUUUCUUGCCUACGUCAUCAAGUCGUCAAUUGCAUAGAUGAUAGAAGAAAGAAAAGAAACUUUACUUAUUUGUUUAUCACCAUGACACCAUCCCUCCACCAUUCUCCGGCCAGCCACCCUACGAUAGAGAAAUUGCUGAAAAAAUUGAUUCCAUAUCUAUAGUCGGCGAGCUCAAAGAGUUUAAAGGUCGUCGGCUGAGAUGUUAAAUUUACUAUCAGGUCUGACAGGAAUUUGUAGGAGGACACAAUGCAAAGGAUGUAGACAUGAUCAAAAUUAUCAUUGUAACGCACAACGUGCAGCAUCUGGAGUUUUGAUAUGGAGUUUAGAUGGAGGAUUUGAUGUUUCGUACGGAUGGUAUGAUAUUUAACAUAGAACACGUGCGCAACACACGUAGGUCAACACGUGGUGUUAUAACGAGAUAGUUGCAACUUACAUUAUGUAUUGGGAAAACAUGAACAUUUUGGUUAUUGAAUACACAUUGUGUACAUCGAGAUUUAGGGAAAAUCUGAUUUUGGUGGACAAUUAUAUGUAUACUAUAGUUAUAAGUCCCAUACCUCAUAAUCCGUGUAAUGGAUAUACCAACUUAUGUAGCAUCUAUGUUGUUUUGUUUA